UACGUAGGGGGCUAGCGUUGUCCGGAUUUAUUGGGCGUAAAGAGCGUGUAGGCGGCCAGGUAGGUCUGCUGUGAAAACUCGGAGGCUCAACCUCGAGACGUCGGCGGAACCAUCUGGCUAGAGUCCGGAAGAGGAGAGUGGAAUUCCUGGUGGUAGCGGUGAAAUGCGUAGAUAUCGAGAGGAACACCUGCGGCGAAGGCGGGUUGCUGGGCCGACACUGACGCUGAUGCGCGAAAGCCAGGGGAGCGAACGGG
rnacentral:rRNA from 1 species